CAAGGUUUCCGUAGGUGAACCUGCGGAAGGAUCAUUAUUGAAUUUAUUAAUGAGGAGUAGAGUUGUAGCUGGCCAUUUUUCUGGCAAUGUGCACACUCUUCUCUUUCAUCCACACACCCCUGUGCACCUGUGAGACAGUUACAAGGUCAUUUUGGAGUUUGGGCAAGUGUGGAGCUUCAUUGCAAAACUUUUCCCUCCUUCUCUUGGCUUUUGCUGUCUACUCAAUUAACAUACAAACUCUAUUAAAUUUAAAACGAAUGUAAUUGAUGUAACGCAUCUAAUACUAAGUUUCAACAACGGAUCUCUUGGCUCUCGCAUCGAUGAAGAACGCAGCGAAAUGCGAUAAGUAAUGUGAAUUGCAGAAUUCAGUGAAUCAUCGAAUCUUUGAACGCACCUUGCGCUCCUUGGUAUUCCUUGGAGCAUGCCUGUUUGAGUAUCAUGAAAUCUUCAAAGUAAACCUUUUGUUAAUUCAAUCGGUCUCUUACUUUGGUUUUGGAGGUCUUUGCAGUUUCACACCCUGCUCCUCUUUGUUUAUUAGCUGGAUCUCUAAGUGUUAUGCUUGGUUCCACUCGGCGUGAUAAGUUAUCUAUCGCUGAGGACACUGUAAAAAGGUGGCCAAGGUAAAUGCAAGACGAACCGCUUCUAAUAGUCCAUUGACUCUGGACAAAAUACAUUUUUAUGAUCUGAUCUCAAAUCAGGUAGGACUACCCGCUGAACUUAAG
rnacentral:rRNA from 1 species